rnacentral:rRNA from 1 species
UCUGGAAACUNUCUGACUUGAGUGCAGAAGGGGAGAGUGGAAUUCCAUGUGUAGCGGUGAAAUGCGUAGAUAUAUGGAGGAACACCAGUGGCGAAAGCGGCUCUCUGGUCUGUCACUGACGCUGAGGCUCGAAAGCGUGGGUAGCGAACAGGAUUAGAUACCCUGGUAGUCCACGCCGUAAACGAUGAGUGCUAGGUGUUAGGCCCUUUCCGGGGCUUAGUGCCGGAGCUAACGCAAUAAGCACUCCGCCUGGGGAGUACGACCGCAAGGUUGAAACUCAAAGGAAUUGACGGGGGCCCGCACAAGCGGUGGAGCAUGUGGUUUAAUUCGAAGCAACGCGAAGAACCUUACCAGGUCUUGACAUCCCGAUGCUAUUCUUAGAGAUAGGAAGUUACUUCGGUACAUCGGAGACAGGUGGUGCAUGGUUGUCGUCAGCUCGUGUCGUGAGAUGUUGGGUUAAGUCCCGCAACGAGCGCAACCCUUAUUGUUAGUUGCCAUCAUUAAGUUGGGCACUCUAGCGAGACUGCCGGUAAUAAACCGGAGGAAGGUGGGGGUGACGUCAAAUCAUCAUGCCCCUUAUGACCUGGGCUACACACGUGCUACAAUGGUCGGUACAACGAGUUGCGAGCCGGUGACGGCAAGCUAAUCUCUGAAAGCCGAUCUCAGUUCGGAUUGGAGGCUGCAACACGCCUCCAUGAAGUCGGAAUCGCUAGUAAUCGCGGAUCAGCACGCCGCGGUGAAUACGUUCCCGGGCCUUGUACACACCGCCCGUCACACCACGAGAGUUUGUAACACCCGAAGUCGGUGAGGUANCCUUUUAGGGGCCA